rnacentral:rRNA from 1 species
UGCAGUCGAGCGGCAGCACGGGGAGCUUGCUCCCUGGUGGCGAGCGGCGGACGGGUGAGUAAUGCAUAGGAAUCUGCCCGGUAGUGGGGGAUAACGUGGGGAAACCCACGCUAAUACCGCAUACGUCCUACGGGAGAAAGCGGAGGAUCUUCGGACUUCGCGCUAUCGGAUGAGCCUAUGUCGGAUUAGCUAGUUGGUAAGGUAACGGCUUACCAAGGCGACGAUCCGUAGCUGGUCUGAGAGGAUGAUCAGCCACACUGGGACUGAGACACGGCCCAGACUCCUACGGGAGGCAGCAGUGGGGAAUAUUGGACAAUGGGCGAAAGCCUGAUCCAGCCAUGCCGCGUGUGUGAAGAAGGCUUUCGGGUUGUAAAGCACUUUCAGCGAGGAAGAAAGCCUCUGGGUUAAUACCCCAGAGGAAGGACAUCACUCGCAGAAGAAGCACCGGCUAACUCCGUGCCAGCAGCCGCGGUAAUACGGAGGGUGCGAGCGUUAAUCGGAAUUACUGGGCGUAAAGCGCGCGUAGGUGGCUUGGCACGCCGGUUGUGAAAGCCCCGGGCUCAACCUGGGAACGGCAUCCGGAACGGCCAGGCUAGAGUGCAGGAGAGGAAGGUAGAAUUCCCGGUGUAGCGGUGAAAUGCGUAGAGAUCGGGAGGAAUACCAGUGGCGAAGGCGGCCUUCUGGCCUGACACUGACACUGAGGUGCGAAAGCGUGGGUAGCAAACAGGAUUAGAUACCCUGGUAGUCCACGCCGUAAACGAUGUCGACUAGCCGUUGGGACCUUUAAGGACUUAGUGGCGCAGUUAACGCGAUAAGUCGACCGCCUGGGGAGUACGGCCGCAAGGUUAAAACUCAAAUGAAUUGRCGGGGGCCCGCACAAGCGGUGGAGCA